CAGGGAGACAACAAAAUGUUUAAUAUUAUUAUUUUGUCACCUUAGGUCGAUCGGUAUCUCACAUUCUUAAUUUAUUAAGGAUUUCACUUCCUAAGUUUUUCUAGGUCACACCCAUUAUUUUUCCUGGGCCAUUAGCUCAGGUGGUUAGAGCGCACCCCUGAUAAGGGUGAGGUCCCUGGUUCAAGUCCAGGAUGGCCCAUAUCUCUACGUUGGGGGUAUAGCUCAAUUGGUAGAGCGCCUGCUUUGCAAGCAGGAUGUCAGCGGUUCGAGUCCGCUUACCUCCACUGAUUACCACCUCUUCCAUAAUCUGGAGAAAGGAAAUGUUUUGAGUUGUGAUCAAUUCUGAACGAAUCUAGCUUCCUAAUGAAAUCAUUAAGAUGCUGGACUCAUUGAAUUAAUUUCAUUGUUUUCAGAGAACCUUGACAACUGCAUAGAUUAUUUUUUCAAGACAAUAAGCAUCUUUUAAUGAUGCAGAUUUAUUAUUGGUGCAAAUGCAUUAAUAACAAUUCUAUUAAGCUGAUGCUUCAAUUAUUUGAAGUUAUU
rnacentral:tRNA from 1 species